UAUCACAGUCAUGCUACCCUGGACGUGCGCCAUCUCCUCUAAUCUCAGAAGCUAAGCAGGCCAGGGCCUGGCUAGUACUUGGAUGGGAGUAAGGGAACAUCAGAGGACUUGCAGAGU
ensembl:rRNA 5S_rRNA 5S ribosomal RNA